UACAAGAGACAUCAGAAAAAUCAUGAGUCACCAUCCCAGCAAAAGAAGGGGAGAUCAUUAGAACAUGUUAAACACACAGAGGAGGCAUCUAUCUGCAGGCAAGAAAGAAAUCCUCCUCAGAACCAGACUAUGCUGAUAUCCUGAUCUUGGACUUCAGUUUCCAGAGCCAUGAGAGCCACAAAUUGGAUGAAGGCCCCAGUGAAAGUACACAUAAAAGAAUUCAUGGAAAGAACCCUGGGAAAUGCUAUGUGCACUCAGACAAAAAAGAGGGGAAAGUAUGUUUCCUCAAAGGAUGUCUGCAAGUGGCAGAUCUCCUGGGAAGGAUAAGAAGAUGCAUUGAAUUCAAUAAAAUACAACACCCUUUCAUGACAAAAACACUCAUCAUACUGACUAGAAGAGAAUUUGUUAAUCUGACAAAAGGAAUCUAUGUGAAACUCACAGUUAACAUCAUAUUUAAUGGUGAAAGAAUGAAUACUUCUUCCAAGAUCAAGAACAAGAUGAAGAUGUCUGCUCUCAUCACUUCUAUUUAAUAUUGUACUAUAGGUUCUGGCAAGAAAGGAAAUUAGACAAGAAAAGACAAAAGCCAUCCAUACUGGAUAGGAAAAAAACAAACCUAAUGCUAUUUUCAAAUUUUUUUUUCUAUUUAUCUAUCUGUAAAAUUUAAAAACCUAAUAGAACUAAUAAAUUAAUCAAGAUUGCAUAUACAAGAUCAACAUACAAAAUUUAACUGUAUUUCUCUAACGUGGCAAAGAGCAUUGCUAAUAUGAAAUUAAGCUAGCAAUUCAUUUUAAAAUAAGGUUAAAAGAGAAAAGUAGUUAGGUGUAAAUUUAACAAAAUAGUAUAAAACCUGAUACUGAAAACUGAAAAAACACUGUCUAUAAAA